UACACUGUAUGAUGAUUCCGUUUACACGAAGUUUAAGAAUGGGCAGAAUUAAUCUGUGAUGAUAGCAGUCAGAAUAGUGGUUACCUUGAGGGGUAGGAGGGCGGCUAUUGAUAGGGAAGGGGUACUUGGAGGCCUUCCAGGGUGCUGGGCACAUUCUGCAUCUUGAUCUGGGUGGGGUUAUGGAAUGUGUAGGUGUGAGAAAACCCAUCAGGAUGUACACUUAGGACGUGUGCGUUCUGUUGCUCCUCACAUUAAAAUUUUAAAAAUCAUUGAGUUAUUUCUAGGUGCCAAACCCUAUGCUAUACCCUUUACAUACAUUAUCUUGUACAAUUUUUUUUUUUUUUUAACAAGCCUCUUUGUUGGGAACUAUUAUUUUACAGAUGAGAAAAGUAAAGCUCAGAGAGUUGGUUCCCUGACUGCAGCUGGUCCGGGCUCUCCCAGCUCGUGCGUGGCAGGACCAAGGUGCGAGCCCAGGGUUGUCUAGUUCAAGCGUCUAGACUUCCUUGUGGGUGCUUCCUUCACUCCCUCGCAGUGUUUCUUCCAGUCUCCCUUUCUUGGGGGACACGUGGGCAUUCAGAUGCGUUGGAUGCAGUCUUGAGUUAAUUAAUCUUGUUGCGUCUAGCACGUGGUACCCACUCACUGCUCUGCUUUGGCCUCAGGUAAUAAUCGAGGUAGAUACCUAAGUCCUGAGGUGGUAGCCACCUUGGAAAACAGGUACCUCUGCCUGAAGAGGAAGGCCAACUCCUUCCUCUUCUAAGACUUGAGCAUGUGUGUCUUCCUCCUGGAAUUUUUCCACAGUCCCCCUUAACUGAACCUGAGUCCCUCAUCUUGGUCGUCUGCGGAUCCGUUGUGUUACCGUGCCACUCUGAACAUAGCACAUGGAAACACCUGGAUACAUAACUUUCCCUCUAAAAAAGUCUAUCCUAGGCGGAAUCUGUGUCAUAUUGCACACCCCACAUUGGACCCUGUGUGUUACCACAAUGUGUUCCAAAGCAUAUUUUUUUCUGCAGUAUCUUAAAUAGCUGUUAUAUGAGGGAAGGCUUCUAAAUAAUAUAUAUAUGUAGGACCUGUGUUAAGCAGGUGUCUCUCUUGCAGGGCACCACGGAAUCUUUACUGUUCUCAUGUGCAUUUUGGAAACUCGGGACUACAGUGCCACAUCUUGGGGAAUGCAGGAAUUUUAGUAUAAACAUGGAGACACGUUCCAUUCUGUACUUUCUCUUCAUGAGGAGUCUAGCUUGUGACUGCGCCUGCCAAGCAGCCGCCAGAGGGAGGCGUUCAGGGAAAUGCCUUAAACAUUUCAGAAUGGGACAGCUGGCUGAACUUGAUGUUGUUUAUAAAAGGCAUCAGUGAAUUUCCACACCAGAGAAGUACUUAUGCGGUAUGCACAAAAUGAUAUGUUUCUGCUUUUAAUAUCUUACUCUGCCCAUCCUAAUGUUCAAAGCAGAAAUCUUUCUGCUGAAACCAGUCUUUCCUCCUCCGGAGGGGAAGGACUGUCUUCUAUUGACUUCUGUGUCCCCAGCAUUAAACAGCUGGUGAACCUUCAGUGAUCAUUUGUUCAGUUGUUGAGCUGACAUUAAUUAAAACUAGAAAACCUCUUAAUGCUGUUUGGCUUUCAAAAGGUAAACUUUGGGUUUGGCUUCCCAGUGAUUUAAUUUGGUUUUUUAAAGCCUCUCAUUGAUUCUCUUACCCCUCACCUAGUGUGACUGAAGAUGUGCAGACCAAAUCUUUCUCCCCAUCCAAAGCAAACAAGUGCACACACGACUUCGCAGGUUAGCGGGGGCCUCCCUGGGACCCUGUGUGAAACAAGUCAGUGAGGGGCUAUGGGUGGGCGAUGCUCAGGUCCCACUCCCAGGCUGAUGAGAGGGUAACACGCUGCCACCCUGCACCCCACACAGGCUCACACAGAGGCAGGCCAAGGCGUCAUCUAAAUAGACCCGUUCAGGGACUUCCCGGGUGGCGCAAUGGUUAAGAAUCCACCUGCCAAUGCAGGGCACACGGGUUCGAGCCCUGGUCCAGGAAGAUCCCACAUGCCAUGGAGCAACUAAGCCUGUGCACCACAACUACCGAGCCUGCGCUCUAGAGCCCAUGAGCCACAACUACUGAGCCUGCGUGCCACAACUACUGCAACCCGAGUGCCUGGAGCCCGUGCUCUGCAACAAGAGAAGCCACCGCAAUGAGAAGCCCGCGCACCACAACGAAGAGUAGCCCCCGCUCGCCGCAACUAGAGAAAGCCAGCGCACAGCAACGAAGACCCAACGCAGCCAAAAAUUUUUUUAAAAAGACUCAAAAGAGCACAAACCUGAUGGAUUUGACUAUAUAAAUAAAUAAACCUGUUCAGAAUGAAAGAGGGAAGAAGACCUGUUUUACAUAGCUUCUACGGUAUCCUAGCAACUGGUUCCCCAGGGCUCGAAGCGGAAAGUUGGAGGAGUGGGAUGUCAUAUCUUGCACGAGGCUCUCACAAAAGUGGACUCUGUUUCUUUGUUCAGGUGUUUGGCAAAUAGUCCCAACUAUUUUAAAUUGAGAUUAAAAUACUUAAGGUUGUAGUCCUUCAGAUGGUGUCUAGUUAGCUCUUAGUUGUGUGCUUCUCGUUUUCUUACAUCCCUAAGAUCAUAGCGGCUGGAAAUGAAAACUAUGGUCAGCACACUGAAAUGUUCGCAUGUGAAGGCUGCCGAGCUGCGUGUGUCUCCUGCGCACACGGAGAGGCCAGAGUGCGUGGUGUGCGCACCUGCCCACUGACCUCAGGCCUGCACACUCGCCUGGGCUCUGGGUUGGUCUUGUCAAGCCUGCCUAGCUCAGCUGCCCCCUGCCUCUCGGAGGUCAGAACGCAUCCGGUCCUGCUCCAUCUUGUUUACUUGCACGAAAAGCACAAUUGCUUGAGGUUUAUUGUCAUGUAAGGUAGAAAAUGGGAGUCUGUCCUUUUCCAGGUGAGGUGCCCGGCGUGAACCGCGUCACCCUUGCUCCCGCUCAGCCUGUGUGGGGACGGGGCAAGGUGCCCUCACACCAGAAGUAGUGAGACAGGGCCCUUGGAAGCUGCUCCCUUCGCCUUCCUGGCUGCCACUUUAGCCAGCUGGCUUUGAGGUGACACCGUGUUUUCUUAAUUUUACUUCUCAGCCGUUACUAUCAGUGUUUUAAGUGCCGCCAUAUAAAAUUAAUUUCAAACCAGAAACAAAGCUUUUGCGAACAUUUGUUGCCAUUAAUUUUUGUUCUUAAGGAUCCGCUCCUGUGGCUGAUUGAUUUAACAAAUGCUGUCUGAUGAGUGUAACUUUAGGGAAAGAACGUCGCUGGGAAACCACGUUAGAAAUAACUCGCUUAAAUGAUUUCGCGUUAAUAGUCUUCCGUGGCAGUUGUGAGUUUGCUAGCCUAAGUAUUUUGAAUUUUGAAACUAAAAGAAACUGUAUGAAAUAUUUGUUUAUUGUUGUAUUACUUUUGGUUUUCUUUUAAAAAUUUUUUGAAGACUUUAUUUUUUAAGAGCAGUUUUAGGCUUAACAACAAAGUUGGGAGGACAGUACGGGGACUUCCCAUUUUCCCACAGCCCUCACACAUGCAGAGCCUCCCUCAUCAGUAACCCCCACCAGAGGGGCACUUUUGUUUUUUUAACAGAAGUGGAACCUAUGUUGACACAUCAUUAUUACCCAGAGUCCGUAGUUUAAGGGUCCACUCUCGAUGUUGUACUUUCUGUGGGUUUGGACAAAUACGUAAUGACAUGUAUCCAUCAUUGUAGUAUCACACAGAGUAUUUUCACUGUCCUUAAACUCCUCUGUGCUCCACCUCUGCAUUGCCCCUCCCCUGACCCCGGCAACCACUGAUCUUUUCCUGUCUCCAUAAUUCUGCCUUUUCCAGACUGUCACAGAGUUGGAAUCAUACAGCACGUAGCCUUCAGAUUGGCUUCUUUCACUUGGUAAAGUGCACGUAAGCCUCCUCCAUGUCUUGUCAUGGCUUGCUAGCUCAUUUCUUUCUUUAGUGCUGAAGAAUAUUCCAUUGUCUGGGUGUACCAAGUACUGGUUUUUCAAAAUUCUUUUCUCUAACGCUAUGUUUGCAUCAUAGGCCUUCUGCACACCUCCCCAGUCUCUCUAGUAUAAAGUAUAGUUGAAAAGAACUUUUAUGCGUCUUGACUUUGUAUUUCAGAAGUUGUAUAUCUGACGUAUAGAUUAGACCAUAAAGUAGUAAGUCUGAAAUAUCACCCUAAAAUUCACCUGCAUGACAGUUUCCUUCAGACACUGCCUCCCGUGGGGCUGAACUCAAGAGUCCAGGGAACCUGUCUGCACAGAAUGUGCCGGACGCCUUUUGAAAGUACAUUCAGCACACGGUUUACCAGCACAAGGACAUCCGAAGUUUCAGUGCUUGGUGAUCAUACCUCACCUCUUUCCCCAAAUAGCAUUACCAAGCUGUCUCACCGGGCCUGUCGUCGUUGAGGUGGACUCCUCUGGCUGUCAUACUCAGGUUGGUCCCCGAGGGUGAAGAUCUACCUCCAGAAGAGUCGCUGAAUUUAGAACAGAAGGAUGACUGCCUGCACACAGAGUGCCCAGAGCAGUUCCCGGCACCUGAAAGAUCAGGACCUUGAAGUUCAGGACAACUGAGGUGUCAGGCCUUCAUCUCACCAGCACUUGGUUGAUACUGAGUGAACAGGUUUACUUCCUCCGCGAGGACCCUCUCUUGUCUGUGCCCCAUGUCAUAGCAUUUGCUGGUCCUCUUCCUCAUGCAGCCCCGUGGCCCGUCCUGGAGGAGCUGGAGAGGCGGGCCGUCCGGCAGCUGGUUCCUGUGUGAGGUCCGAGUGUGACCAGGACUGCGGGCCGGUGUGGGCCAUGUUGAAGGGACUAAGAGGGAGCAACCACAAAAUGCUUCCUGAACAUGAAACUGGUGCAUUUCCUGUGUUUCAUUUGCCUGACUUUAGUCUCAGGCUCACUUUUUAGUUUCCUUUGAGGUUAUUGCACUAGGGAAACAGUUUGAUUCACUUUCUUUGUGCAUAUGGUGGCCUUUCUCUGUGGCUUCCUGUGUCCAGACGAGGAGCCAGAAGUGUCUCGGCCCCAGCCUCACCGCUGUGCUAGGAUGCGGGACGGGAUCAGGAGUGCUGACUCUUCAGCUGAAGGACCCGCCUCUGAUACCUUUUGGGGGCACAGAGGCCCCAAUUCUGGCGUCAGAAAUGCCUG